GAUGAAGAACGCAGCGAAAUGCGAUAAGUAAUGUGAAUUGCAGAUUUCAGUGAAUCAUCGAAUCUUUGAACGCACCUUGCGCCUUGUGGUAUUCCACAAGGCAUGCCCGUUUGAGUAUCAUCAAAUCAUCAACUCUAAAACCUUUGUGGUUUUUUUAGAGCUUGGUCUUGAGGGUUUUGCAGGCUUUUUUUUUUCGAGUCUGCUCCCUUUAAAUGCAUUAGCGAGACUUCCCUAUGCUGAACCGUCUCUUUGACGUGAUAAUUAUCUGCGUCGAAUUUUGGUUCUCGUUGGGCUUGCUUCUAAUCGUCUGUUAAAGACAAAACGGAUUUGGGUGCAUAUAUGCGCCUUUUUCCAAAACCUUUUUUGAUCUCAAAUCGGGUAGGACUACCCGCUGAACUUAAGCAUAUCAAUAAGCGGAGGA
rnacentral:misc_RNA from 1 species